GAACUUUAUUGGGAAGGCCUCCAUGUUAUCCUGUUUGACAGUUCGAGAGCUAGCUUGUCGAUGAAGAAAGCCUUUGCUACAUUCAGUCUGUAGACCCUGAUUGGCAAGCAGCCUUGAGAGGGGUUUUCCUAUACCUGGCAGACAGUUCCAGUAUUGGGGCGCUGAAGGCCCCAGAACAAGAAGAGCUGGAGGAAGCUGGGUGGUGACACUUGGAAUCACUUUAGUCAUUCAUUAAAUUGUUGCUGUUCUCAAGUUCGACCUCCCACAAGAACUAUUCUAUCAUAAUUCCCUAACACAGCUGAUUGUAGCUGUCCUUCUCCAAUACUCGAAGAUAGACAUUGGUAUGUAGGUGAGUACAGACACACAUGCACACUCACACAAACACACACCCACACAAACAUACACACAUACUCUCACAUACCCCCCCACAGUCACACACAUACACACAUACUCUCACAUACCCACACUCACACACACAGUUCACACACACAUAAAUACACACUCACACACACAUUCACACAUUCAUAUUCACACACACACACACACACAAGGGUGGGGAGAAGAGAACUUUCUGGAUAACCGCAUCUCUCUUUUGUGAACCAACCUCUAAAUCUCCUUUUAAGGACCCUCCCAUGUCCGUCUGGACCCUGAGGGUGCUGCAUACCCACCCCUGCCUCCUUCCCAUCCCCAGAGCCCGUGGGAGGGUGGAGAAGACACAGGCCUGGCUCCUGCGUGCUGGUCAUGGCCCUUAGGAAAGGCCUUGGGUUUGGCAGGAGAACACUGGAGGAACGAAAGCCAGGUGUAGAGACUUCUUUGGGAAGAAGAGGUGGCUCAGUGGUUAGGGGUAUGCACUUUCCUCCCAUAGAUCCUAGUGUUUGGUUCAGGGUGGAAGCUGAGAAAACUCACGUCAGAUAUGAAAGCUUAAAAAUGAAAGCUUUAUUUUCUGACCGCUCAGGAUGGAGGCCAGUUCGGGCUCUGAACCACAUCCCCAGAGAGAGAGUGUAUAACAUCUCUAAGGAAUGAGAACACAAAGCAAGCUGUGGGGAGCUGCAGUGUUAUCCGGUUGUAUUUUGACAUUGUGGGUUAAGCAAGGGAAAACCUGUUGGAGACUGGGCUGUGCCCAGGGCACCUGGCUUCAGGGUACUUAAUUCAUUCUCCUAGACAUUAGUUCCGGAGCUCCGAGUGAGAAGGGGGCAAAGGAGCGGGUCAGCCGCAUGUAGCUAAUUAGAGCAUAACAGGCAAUGAUUGUAUAUUUUUUUUACAACAUAUGCACCUUGGUUUAGAUAAUAGCAGUUUCUAUAUUCUUAACCAGUUAACAGACAAGUAAGAAGACACUCGGAGAAGCGAGGUAGGUGUUCGUUCCUAGGCCUGGGAACGUGAAAGUGUUUGAUCCUGCUGGCAAGAUGGAGAAGUUGUCCCUGAGAUGCCCGGACUCAGACAACUGUUUACAGCAGGAGCUGUUCAGCUGUAGGGGGGUCCCCAGGUCCCCUAGAGCCUGGGACCUUGGGUGUCAUUUCUCCCUGUGGUUAGAUGGAGACUUAGUACUUAUGGUGGUAUUUAGAAUUCUUUUGCUUGUUCCCAGCGCUAGGGUAAGUAUUGGAUCCUCAUAACCUGUACCUAACUCCCGCACCAGGGGACCCAAUGUCCUCUUCUGGACUCUGAGCACCUGUACUCAUGUGUGUACACUCCCACACAGACACUCUUAAAAAAAAAAAACUUGGAGGGAAACUUUGCUGCCAGCCUAGGUGGCGCAGUGAGUUCAAAGCCCGCUGGCCUUCAUUGUUGGACACGGCCAAGGCUGGUGUGAAGGAAACCAUUCUUUGCAUGUUGACUUGUGAGAAGGCCAGAGGUCAAACCCCCUUUCCCAUGGUGUGUCCUUUUGUGCUGGUUCCCACCUGUAACCCAGCGCUGUCCUGAAGCUUGUGGGUCUUGUUCUUCCUCUUGCCACUGCAGUCCUCUGACCCUUUUCCUUGUCAGAGAUGUCACUCGUGGGCUCAUUUCUGGAUCCGACGUUCCCUCAGGAAGGACACCUGAUCGCCCAUGCCUUCCCAAGCAGGACCCUACCAUAUCUGUGCUGUGAGCUUCUUUGUCCUAACCCCCAAGCUCCCAGCUUUAAAAGGUGUCUGACUGACCUUCAUCGGUGGAAUCAAGAAGUUCAAAUGCCAAGGAUGCCAGACAGCAUGCCGCAACCACGGAGCAACACACUUGAAGUCUAGCUUCCUAACGCAAGUCUUCCCGCAACUAGCUGGAACACUUUAUGACACUGCCUGUUCCAGAAGUUCUGUGGGGCAGACAUGAAGGUAGAGGACUCUGGCCUCCAUUGCUGAUGUACUCCCACAUACCUUUGAUAUUCUCUAGAACCUCCUAUCAGGUCUGCUUUCUCCUGAGGAACAUACUCUGGCUUCUUGCCAGCAAUCUGUCUCGAUGCUAUGGACUAAACUGCCCGCUAGCAAUUAGUCUGGACUUUAGUUGUUUUUGAAAGAUGAAUUGAGAUGUAAUUUUCUAAUUAACAGUGGUUGUCAAAUAAAGGGGGACAAAGUCUCUGUCUGGGCCUCGACAAGGCCACGGCCACGGCGUGGCAGGCUGGAGCCUCUCGAGGACAAAUGCGAGGAACCAGUGGCUCAGGAAGCAAUUAGCUUGUGGCUUCUGUUGCUGAUGGGGGAACCAUGCAGAGCAGAGAGGGCCUGCUGGGGAGUGGAGCUCAGAUGGGGCUAGCUAUGGUGGUUGAGCUAGCAGAACGGAUGCAGGGACACGCUCCAAGGACCCCCCGUCCACCUCCCCCGUGCACGCUCACACUGCCAUCGUACUGUGUGAUGGAACACUUCUGGGUUUGCAUUGUUGGUGCCUGGGUUAAAGAUGUAAUAGCUACCAAUGUCUGUUCUAGAUAAUAACCCUUGAAGGCACGGGGAUGGGAGGUAUUUGUCAUGGGGCUUACAGGCACAGGGGGACGUGUUUUCAGAAUGGUUACUCCCCGCAAAGCUGUCUUAUCUCAAGCCUGGUGAUAUUUCUAAGGCGUCAUUUGUAUUAUUGUUUGUGUGACUCCUGGCUCCUUUUCCCUCUCCCUGCACGGGUGACUGAACCUAGCUGCUCACAUAAGACAGACAAGCCUUUCCCACCAAGCUGCUUCCUAACUCUCUUUUAACUUUUGUUUUGAAAUAGGAGGUCACCGGCCGUGAACUCAUGGCUCCUCUGCCUCAGCUUCCCAGGUAGCCUGGGUGACAGGCCUGUGCCACCGGGCCUGGCUAUGACUCUGCUUCCGCUUUCUCAAUGGUCCCCUUUGCUCAUGUGUUGAUGACACAGGGCAACCAAUGUCACAGAGGACCUGGGGGAGGGGGACGUCUCAGUUUUGACUCUUGGCUCAGGGUCUGGCUGGCACCUCGGGCCUCCAGAUGUCUGCUUCUUUCAGAUCUCUGUAGGGACCUGACCAGACACAGAGGGCACGGGGGCAUCCAGAAAGGGCCAGUUUCUUACUUGAC
rnacentral:lncRNA from 1 species